CCUACGGGAGGCUGCAGUAGGGAAUAUUGCUCAAUGGGGGAAACCCUGAAGCAGCAACGCCGCGUGGAGGAUGAAGGUUUUCGGAUUGUAAACUCCUUUUGUUCGCGGAGAUAAUGACGGUAUCUAACGUCUACGCACCAGCUCACGCAGGUCAAGCAGCCGCGGGCAUACGGAGGGUGCAAGCGUUAAUCGGAAUCACUGGGGGUAAAGAGCGCGGAGGCGGGAUAGCAAGUCAGAUGUGAAAGCCUAUGGCUUAACCAUAGAACUGCAGUUGAAACUGGUAUUCUAGAGUGUGGGAGAGGUAGGUGGAAUGCGUGGUGUAGGGGUAAAAUCCGUAGAGAGCAAGAGGAAGACUCAUUGCGAAGGCGACCUGCUAGAGCACAACUGACGCUGAAGCGCGAAAGCGUGGGGAGCGAACAGGAUUAGAUACCCGAGUAGUC
rnacentral:rRNA from 1 species